rnacentral:rRNA from 1 species
AUUGAACGCUAGCGGGAUGCUUUACACAUGCAAGUCGAACGGCAGCGCGGGCUUUCGGGCCUGGCGGCGAGUGGCGAACGGGUGAGUAAUAUAUCGGAACGUGCCCAGUAGCGGGGGAGUAACUACGCGAAAGCGUGGCUAAUACCGCAUACGCCCUGCGGGGAAAGGGGGGAUCGCGAGACCGUCUCACUAUUGGAGCG